AGUGGGGAAUCUUGGACAAUGGGCGCAAGCCUGAUCCAGCCAUGCCGCGUGAGUGAUGAAGGCCUUAGGGUCGUAAAGCUCUUUCGCCAGGGAUGAUAAUGACAGUACCUGGUAAAGAAACCCCGGCUAACUCCGUGCCAGCAGCCGCGGUAAUACGGAGGGGGUUAGCGUUGUUCGGAAUUACUGGGCGUAAAGCGUACGUAGGCGGACCAUUAAGUAAGGGGUGAAAUCCCAGGGCUCAACCCUGGAACUGCCUCUUAAACUGCUGGUCUUGAGUUCGAGAGAGGUGAGUGGAAUUCCGAGUGUAGAGGUGAAAUUCGUAGAUAUUCGGAGGAACACCAGUGGCGAAGGCGGCUCACUGGCUCGAUACUGACGCUGAGGUACGAAAGUGUGGGGAGCAAACAGGAUUAGAUACCCUGGUAGUCCACACCGUAAACGAUGAAUGCCAGUCGUCGGGUAGCAUGCUAUUCGG
rnacentral:rRNA from 1 species